GACGAACGCUGGCGGCGUGCUUAACACAUGCAAGUCGAGCGGUAAGGCCCUUUCGGGGUACGACGAGCGGCGAACGGGUGAGUAACACGUGGGUGACCUGCCCUCAGCUCUGGGAUAAGCCUGGGAAACUGGGUCUAAUACUGGAUAUGACUCCACGGUGCAUGUCGUGGGGUGGAAAGCCUUGUGCGGCUGAGGAUGGGCCCGCGGCCUAUCAGCUUGUUGGUGGGGUGAUGGCCUACCAAGGCGACGACGGGUAGCCGGCCUGAGAGGGCGACCGGCCACACUGGGACUGAGACACGGCCCAGACUCCUACGGGAGGCAGCAGUGGGGAAUCUUGCGCAAUGGGCGAAAGCCUGACGCAGCGACGCCGCGUGAGGGAUGACGGCCUGGUGUAAC
rnacentral:rRNA from 1 species